CGCUACGGGACAGUGGCAGUACUCGGCGGCGUUCGACGUGAACGCGCGUGAUGUCAGCGGUCAGACCGCGUUGUACGUCGCGUGCACUCUUGGCAACUUGGCAGUCGUUGAUGCGUUGUUGUCGCAUACGGUCGUCGCUUUGCCGGCUCCUAAGCCUGAUCAGGAUCCUGAAGAGACCGUGGUAGCUACUCAAGCGUUGAGUCCACAUCGCGGCGGCAUCUCCCUCGGUAUACAUGCUAUUGUCAGCAAGUUGACUGGAUCUUCUGGGAAUAAUGAGAAGUCCUCAGAGCGGCGCAUAUGCCCGGUGGUGGUGGAGGCCGGGAGGGGAGGCGACGCGUGCGUGUCCUGCGCCGCGAGGGGGGGGCAUGUCAGGCUGCUG